rnacentral:rRNA from 1 species
UCCGUAGGUGGAUCAAUCAGUCAGAGGUGAAAUCCUGCAGCUUAACUGUAGAACUGCCUUUGAUACUGUUGAUCUUGAGUCAUUAUGAAGUGGUUAGAAUGUGUAGUGUAGCGGUGAAAUGCAUAGAUAUUACACAGAAUACCGAUUGCGAAGGCAGAUCACUAAUAAUGUACUGACACUGAGGGACGAAAGCGUGGGGAUCAAACAGGAUUAGAUACCCUGGUAGUCC